AGCGCAGGCGGUUUCUUAGGUCUGAUGUGAAAGCCUUCGGCUUAACCGGAGAAGAGCAUCGGAAACUGGGAGACUUGAGUGCAGAAAAGGACAGUGGAACUCCAUGUGUAGCGGUGAAAUGCGUAGAUAUAUGGAAGAACACCAGUGGCGAAGGCGGCUGUCUGGUCUGUAACUGACGCUGAGGCUCGAAAGCAUGGGUAGCGAACA
rnacentral:rRNA from 1 species